rnacentral:rRNA from 1 species
GUGUCAGCAGCCGCGGUAACCCCAGCGCCACAAGUGGUCAUCGCGAUUAUUGGGCCUAAAGCGUUCGUAGCCGGCUUGGUAAAUCUCUUGUGAAAUUGUUCGGCUUAACCGAACAGCGUGCAGGAGACACUGCCAAUCUCGAGACCGGGAGGCGUAAGAAGUAUUCCAUGGGGACUGGUAAAAUGGGAUAAUCCAUGGAAGACUACCGAUGGCGAAGGCAUCUUACGAGAACGGAUCUGACGGUGAGGAACGAAAGCCAGGGGAGCGAACCGGAUUAGAAACCCGGGUAGUCC